UGGGGAAUAUUGGACAAUGGGCGCAAGCCUGAUCCAGCUAUGCCGCGUGGAUGAAGAAGGCCUUCGGGUUGUAAAGUCCUUUCGUUGGUGAAGAUAAUGACGGUAACCAAAGAAGAAGCCCCGGCUAAUUUCGUGCCGGAGCAGCCGCGGUAAUACGAAAGGGGCUAGCGUUGUUCGGAAUUACUGGGCGUAAAGCGCACGUAGGCGGCAUUGUAAGAUGGGGGUGAAAUCCCUGGGCUCAACCCAGGAACUGCCUUCAUGACUGCAAAGCUUGAGGAUGUGAGAGGUUGGCGGAAUUCCGAGUGUAGAGGUGAAAUUCGUAGAUAUUCGGAAGAACACCGGUGGCGAAGGCGGCCAACUGGCGCAUUUCUGACGCUGAGGUGCGAAAGCGUGGGGAGCAAACAGGAUUAGAUACCCCCGUAGUCCCUGAGCGGGCUGGCAAGGCGCAU
rnacentral:rRNA from 1 species